rnacentral:rRNA from 1 species
AGAGGUUGAUUCUGGCUCAGGACGAACGCUGGCGGCGCGCCUAACACAUGCAAGUCGAACGAGCGAGAGAGAGCUUGCUUUCUCAAGCGAGUGGCGAACGGGUGAGUAACGCGUGAGGAACCUGCCUCAAAGAGGGGGACAACAGUUGGAAACGACUGCUAAUACCGCAUAAGCCCACGACCCGGCAUCGGGUAGAGGGAAAAGGAGCAAUCCGCUUUGAGAUGGCCUCGCGUCCGAUUAGCUAGUUGGUGAGGUAAUGGCCCACCAAGGCGACGAUCGGUAGCCGGACUGAGAGGUUGAACGGCCACAUUGGGACUGAGACACGGCCCAGACUCCUACGGGAGGCAGCAGUGGGGAAUAUUGCACAAUGGGGGAAACCCUGAUGCAGCGACGCCGCGUGGAGGAAGAAGGUCUUCGGAUUGUAAACUCCUGUUGUUGAGGAAGAUAAUGACGGUACUCAACAAGGAAGUGACGGCUAACUACGUGCCAGCAGCCGCGGUAAAACGUAGGUCACAAGCGUUGUCCGGAAUUACUGGGUGUAAAGGGAGCGCAGGCGGGAAGACAAGUUGGAAGUGAAAUCCAUGGGCUCAACCCAUGAACUGCUUUCAAAACUGUUUUUCUUGAGUAGUGCAGAGGUAGGCGGAAUUCCCGGUGUAGCGGUGGAAUGCGUAGAUAUCGGGAGGAACACCAGUGGCGAAGGCGGCCUACUGGGCACCAACUGACGCUGAGGCUCGAAAGUGUGGGUAGCAAACAGGAUUAGAUACCCUGGUAGUCCACACUGUAAACGAUGAAAUGGGGUGUUGGAGGAUUGACCCCUUCAGUGCCGCAGUAACACAAUAAG